rnacentral:rRNA from 1 species
AUGCAAGUCGAAGAAGGAUUGGCGGUGCUGCCGGCUGGCGUCAAGUUCGAUCCCACGGAUCAGGAGCUGAUCGAGCACCUUGAGGCCAAAGUGAGUGCUGACAACACGAGAUUUCAGUUUCUCAUCGAUUUGUUCAUACCAACCAUCGAUAGCGAGCACGGCAUAUGCUACACCCAACCUGAGAAACUUCCAGGUAUCACACUGAGUGGGCUAAGGAAGCAUUUCUUCCAGCGCAAUUCCAGGGCGUUCAAAAGGGGCACGUGGAUGCGUCGCAAGAUACAGUCGGAGUGCGGCAUGCACGCGAGGCACAAGACCGGCAAUACCUUGCCGGUGAUGAGGACCAACUGGGUGAUGCACCAGUACCACCUCGGGCACUUGGAGCAAGAGAAGGAGCGGGAGCUGGUCCUCUACAAGAUUUUCUACCAGACGAACACUGCUAGGGCCAGGAGUAAAAAGAUUAUUAGUUUGGUAUUGGUAGUUGUACUACCUUGUCGUCCGCAAGUUGGUAUUGUUGUCAACGAUCUUUUGGCCCAUCCCAUGACGACAACGGGGCACAAAGAUCCAGCAGCUAUCUACUGGCCUCUGGCCCGCCAGCGUUAG